UGUCAUCAUUCUACUGCUGCCAGCUUGUGUCCCUUUGCCCUGUUGCAGCGGCUGUGGUGAUCAGCAGGAUGAUGGAAGCCAGUGGCAAUGGUUUCAUCGGAGAACAAUAUAGCUGCAAACUUUAACCAAUAACUUAAACUUUAGUAGAUCAUUCAGUGAAGAUGAGUGGUGAUACCAGAAAAAACGUGAAGAGGGCACCGAAGGGGCAAAGUGCAUUUUACUGGAAGGAUAGACACCCUCAUCAUGGCAAGGACAGGACAAAAUAAUCGAUUUUUAUGGACGCAUAACCUGUGAAUUCUGCAGAAUGUCCUUCUCCUCCUCUGCCCUCUGUUAUGGAGAAAUGGCUCAGCUGCUGGUGUUUUCCGCUGGGCUUACUGUCAAAAUAAAAAUAAGAAAGCGAGAUAGCAGAGGAAAUAGAAGGGAAGAGAGAAAAGAAGGGAUCAUCCUUCUUUAAUUUAUAAUUUCAAAAAGGAUUAUGUUAAAUUCCUUUUCCUUUUCCAGUUUGCUAAUGUUUACAGUUAAUCUCACUUUCAGAGUGGCUGUAUCUGCUUUAGCAUAAUCUCCCUCCCCCUUCCCUGUCUCCCUCAUCUGAAAUAAAAUACAGAAAUCC